GGCGAACGCUAGCGGUGCGCCUAACACAUGCAAGUCGAGCGAGAAGUUUUUUAGCUUGCUAAAAAAUAGACAGCGGCGAACGGGUGAGUAACACGUUGGUAUCUGCCCCCAAGUCAGGGAUAGCCCACCGAAAGGUGGAUUAAUACCGGAUAGUCUCUUCGGAGUAAAAAUUUAUUGCUUGGGGAGGAACCUGCGAAGUAUCAGCUUGUUGGUGAGGUAAUAGCUCACCAAGGCUAUGACGCUUAAUUGGUCUGAGAGGAUGACCAGUCACAAUGGAACUGAGACACGGUCCAUACUCCUACGGGAGGCAGCAGUGAGGAAUCUUCCACAAUGGACGAAAGUCUGAUGGAGCGACACCGCGUGAAGGAUGAAGGCCUAACGGUCGUAAACUUCUUUUCUGAGGGAGCAUAAUGAGAGUACCUCAAGAAUAAGGGACGGCUAAAUACG
rnacentral:rRNA from 1 species